CGAGAGGUUUGCUUCUUAUGACCAGCUAUUUGCGAUGUUGCGUGCAGCUGGUGCACCUGGUAUGGCCGUCGCACCUCCUCUUCCUCCUCUCCCACCUCUCCCUCCUCUUUCUGGGCCAUUUGGGAUCCCAUCGGCUGGUUCUCACAACCCGUCGCACCAGUCGGAUGCAAGCCCUGUGACCCCAGCUGGUAGUACGAGCAUGCCUCCGCCGGCCAAUCCUGACCUUCACAGCCUAAGGAGGCAACUU